rnacentral:rRNA from 1 species
GACGGGACCGCACAAGCGGUGGAUGAUGUGGAUUAAUUCGAUGCAACGCGAAAACCUUACCUACCCUUGACAUGUCCGGAAUCCCGAAGAGAUUUGGGAGUGCUCGCAAGAGAACCGGGACACAGGUGCUGCAUGGCUGUCGUCAGCUCGUGUCGUGAGAUGUUGGGUUAAGUCCCGCAACGAGCGCAACCCUUGUCAUUAGUUGCCAUCAUUUGGUUGGGCACUCUAAUGAGACUGCCGGUGACAAACCGGAGGAAGGUGGGGAUGACGUCAAGUCCUCAUGGCCCUUAUGGGUAGGGCUUCACACGUCAUACAAUGGUCGGUACAGAGGGUUGCCAACCCGCGAGGGGGAGCUAAUCCCACAAAGCCGAUCGUAGUCCGGAUCGCAGUCUGCAACUCGACUGCGUGAAGUCGGAAUCGCUAGUAAUCGUGGAUCAGCAUGUCACGGUGAAUACGUUCCCGGGUCUU